UACGAAGGGGGCUAGCGUUGCUCGGAAUCACUGGGCGUAAAGGGUGCGUAGGCGGGUCUUUAAGUCAGGGGUGAAAUCCUGGAGCUCAACUCCAGAACUGCCUUUGAUACUGAAGAUCUUGAGUCCGGGAGAGGUGAGUGGAACUGCGAGUGUAGAGGUGAAAUUCGUAGAUAUUGGGAAGAACACCGGUGGCGAAGGCGGCUCUCUGGACCGAGACUGACGCUGAGGCGCGAAGGCGUGGGGAGCAAACAGG
rnacentral:rRNA from 1 species